UACGAAGGGGGCUAGCGUUGUUCGGAAUUACUGGGCGUAAAGCGCACGUAGGCGGAUUGGCAAGUCAGGGGUGAAAUCCCGGAGCUCAACUCCGGAACUGCCUUUGAUACUGCCAGUCUAGAGUCCGGAAGAGGUGGGUGGAAUUCCUAGUGUAGAGGUGAAAUUCGCAGAUAUUAGGAAGAACACCGGUGGCGAAGGCGGCCCACUGGUCCGGUACCGACGCUGAGGUGCGAAAGCGUGGGUAGAAAACAGG
rnacentral:rRNA from 1 species